UAUGGCAUCUUUUCUUCUCUUAAACUGCUCAAAAAUUUGAUUGUUUGAUGAUCUCAUAAAGAAAAUGAUAGAUCUGACUGGGAGAUCAGAUUUUUAUCAUACUGGUCAAAAGUACCAAUAUCUAGCCUCCUGAACAUCAAUUUGAUCUUGUACAUAAUGAUGAGCAAAGCACUAUGUGAAAAGGUUUGGGAGCAUGACAACAAUUAGGAGGAAUGAGAAUAUCAAUCAAUUAAUACUACAGAAUGUUGAAUAGGCAAAUUCCCUAGUAGAAUGUGUAGAUGAUUCUCAGCAUGACUUGGAGCAAUUCUCAUGAGGAGAAAGAUUAUCAUGCAUUUACAGAACCUGCAUAAAGGUAUAUCAUAUCCCCUAUCAUCUGCAGCAAAUUUUGGAGAUCAAGACAUGUCAAAAUCACUGACUUUCAAUUUUCAGGACAGCAACUUGUAAAUUGCCAAUUCAAGAGUAGUCUUAUGCUGAUUUUAUCAUUUGGAUAGAGAAAAAAGCCAUGAGAAUUAUUUAUUCGGAAUCCAACUUCAAUUAUGAAUUGAAACAGAUCGAAUAUUUUAGCUAGAAAAUUUCAACCAAGAACAAAUUGAAAAGGGCCAAGGAAAUGCAGGUUCAGAUAUCCAGGAGAAGGAAUGUCAAUGAGAAUUAAACAGAUGGACUUGACAUCCCCAAAUGAUGUAGAUGCAGGACAGCUAAGAAGUAUUUUGAUGCUUGUAGACUGCAAAAGAUAGGCUUCAAGCAUUAGGAAAACAAAAUGAAUUCCAGAAUUAGGGAUG
rnacentral:lncRNA from 1 species